rnacentral:tRNA from 1 species
GUCAAGUUAGUUUAACUAAAAACAUCAGCCUGUGGAUUUGAAAAUGAAAUCUAAUUUUCACUUGACC